rnacentral:tRNA from 1 species
AUUUAAAUAGCUUAAGUAUAGAGCAUAACGUUGAAGGUGUUAAGGUAGUUUAAAUAACUUUUAAAUA